rnacentral:rRNA from 1 species
GAUGAACGCUGGCGGCGUGCCUAAUACAUGCAAGUCGAGCGGUAAGGCCUCUUCGGAGGUACACGAGCGGCGGACGGCUGAGUAACACGUAGGAACAUACCCCAAAGUGAGGGAUAACUGCUCGAAAGAGUAGCUAAUACCGCAUGUGAUCUAAGGAUUAAAGCUUCGGCGCUUUGGGAAUGGCCUGCGUAUGAUUAGUUUGUUGGUGAGGUAAUGGCUCACCAAGACUACGAUCAUUAGCUGGUCUGAGAGGAUGAUCAGCCAGACUGGGACUGAGACACGGCCCAGACUCCUACGGGAGGCAGCAGUAGGGAAUUUUCCACAAUGGACGAAAGUCUGAUGGAGCAACGCCGCGUGCAGGAUGAAGGCCCUUGGGUCGUAAACUGCUUUUAUAUGUGAAGAUUAUGACGGUAGCAUAUGAAUAAGGAUCGGCUAACUCCGUGCCAGCCGCCGCAGUAAAAC